GGCCUUGCUCUUAUGUCAUCUGACUAAAAGUUUCAUAGACCAAAGAUAACCAUCCAACCUGUUGGAAUACUGAAACAAUUGCUGCCUGCUUUCCACACACUACAUAAAAUAUGUGGAUAUCCUAAAUUCUACAAAAAAGAUUUGUAAGCAGAUCAAGCAAUACUGGGACUCCCUCUUCUCCAGAAGAGACAUCCUGGCCUCCAUGCAGAGGAAUGUGUGGAUGGACAUAUAUUUAAGGAAGACACUAAACCAGAAAAUACUACAUUACACCCUCUUAAAAGACUUCUAAGAUUGUUGUCAUGCCUAUCACUGACAUUCAGAUGAUGUGUAUUCUUGAUUGUGAUUUCAUGUUUGGAGCUGAUGAAGGAGUUUGAAGUCUCCAGAGCAGCAAGGAGAGUGGGGAGUAGAACUCAUCAUCUUUAGGUCACUCAUCCCCG
rnacentral:lncRNA from 1 species